rnacentral:lncRNA from 1 species
CUUUUUUUCUUUUCUUUUGGUUCAUUUUUUAAGAAAAAUGAAAAUGAGGCCUUGCACAGUUAUCUGAAUCCUCCGCCCUGUGGAGAACACUCUGCCUCCUAGGAAGACUUGUCCUUUUCCCAUGAAAGGGAAGAGAUUUUUCUCAGGGUUGCCACUGACACUAAUGUUUUUUCCCAAAGUCACUGCUGAAACUGUGACUUGCAUCCUUUUGGAGUGUAAGCAGAAACAUCUACUUGCCAAAAAUAAACAAAUAAACAACAUUUGAAUAGGAAAUGCACCCACUCAAGUCCUCUGUAAAUGUGUUCAAAGGUAGGGUGUUACUUUAAGAGCUUUCACAGAUUUUUUACCCAGGGAAUUAUGAUGUUUGGCAUUUGGAAAAUAUUCUCUUGAAACCCCCUACCAAACACCAGCUGGUUUAUAUGCAGUAUCCCAGCAGGGAACACCUGCUUAAUGCUUUUCAGCAGAAGAUACCAGUUCCGUAUAAAGCCCUGCAUGCCACAGUAAGGGCACAUCUGAUGUUACUGUUUGAAACAAUACAUAAAGAAGUUCUGUGUCAGGACACUUGUUUUGGUAAGUGUUUCAUGACAGCUGUUCUAAAGAUUGCCACAGCCUUAUGUCUCAAAGGCCUGGAGUAUGUCUGAAAUACCACUCUCAGCACAAGGUAAGUAAGGUAGAUGUAUAUAAAGUGCUUAUGUGCAAAAUAUGAAAAUAAUACCUACUUUGUUAUAUGCAUGGUGUUGUACUUUCUGAAGGGGUUCUUAUGAAGUAAACUUUCAGCUCUAAAUUUUCCUUGGGAUUGCUCUGGUAUUCUAAUCAGGUUGUGAUCUAACCCACUCUGUUCCAAAACUGCCUUACUCCUUAUUUUUCUGUGGGUUUCCCUGCCUUUGUAAAUGCCUAUGUCAACUCAGCAUCGCCACUCAAGAAUCCUUUCCACCCAAGUGGUUAGGAAGGCUGGAUAACAAUAAUUCCAGGGUUUCACCAUACUUGCUAUCUGGCCAAAAUGCAUUUUUUUCUGCCAAU